rnacentral:rRNA from 1 species
AUUGAACGCUGGCGGCAGGCCUAACACAUGCAAGUCGAGCGGCGCGGCGGACGCGUGCGUAAUGCCUAGGACUCUGCCUGGUCGUGGGGGAUACCGUCCGGAAACGGGCGCUAUUACUGCUUACUCUCCGAUGCGCAUAGGUCGGAUUAGACAGUUGGUGGGGUAAAGGCCUACCAAGGCGACGAUCCCUAACUGGUCUGAGAGGAUGAUCAGUCACACUGGAACUGAGACACGGUCCAGACUCCUACGGGAGGCAGCAGUGGGGAAUAUUGCACAAUGGGCGAAAGCCUGAUGCAGCCAUGCCGCGUGUAUGAAGAAGGUCUUCGGAUUGUAAAGCACUUUAAGUUGGGAGGCGUUACCAACAGAAUAAGCACCGGCUAACUUCGUGCCAGCCGCCGCGGUAAUUC